ensembl:snRNA U2 U2 spliceosomal RNA
AUAUGUUAUAAGAACUGUUUUCUAAUAAAAAAAUAAAAAAUCUGUUCUUAUCAGUUUAAUAUCUGAUACGUCCCCCAUGGGACUACAUAUUAACCGGAUUUUUGGAACAGGGAGCUGGAUCAGGAGCUUGCUCCGUCCUCUCCACGCAUCGGCCUGGUAUUGCAGCGCCUCCGUGAACGGUGCACUACCU